rfam:Glycine soja cultivar W05 scaffold3371_16, whole genome shotgun sequence.
AGCCUAUUAACUCAGUUGGUUAGAGCAUCAUGCUAAUAAUGCGAAAGUCACAAGUUUAACUCUUGUUUAGGCCA